GAGUUUGGCUGGGGCGGCACAUCUGUUAAAAGAUAACGCAUGUGUCCUAAGAUGAGCUCAACGGGAACAGAAAUCUCGUGUGGAACAGAAGGGUAAAAGCUCAUUUGAUUCUGAUUUCCAAUACAAAUACAAACCGUGAAAGCGUGGCCUAACGAUCAUUUAGACCUUCGGAAUUCGAAGCUAGAGGUGUCAGAAAUGUUACCACAGGGAUAACUGGCUUG
rnacentral:ncRNA from 1 species